UUCUUUGUAGAAUUUCUGUGUGAGUUCUGGCUAUGCUGUAGAAGGAACACUGGCUUAUCCCCUUUCCCCAGGAAAGCAUAAACCAAGACUGUCACCAGAACCAGAUUCAUGCUAUUCUGCAAAAGAACCAUAGUUAAGAAACCCAUUUCUCCUGUCUCCCAAUAAUGAGGCUUAAAGACUGGUUUCUCCAAAGACCCAUGGAAAAGAACUGUGGCAUAGAUCCAAGGUUAAGGAUAUGCUUUAAGGAGGACAAAAAAUAUCACUACCCUCUCUCAUCUACCAACUGGUCCCUUUUCUCCAGGGCAGAACACACAAACCAACAUCCAAGAGGGAAGCUGCAGCAGAAUUACUGAACCGUGGAAUCAUUGCUCCCUCACCCACCUACUACUUGCUCCCAAAGAGAUUCACAACUAGAGAGAGAAAAGAAAACUAAUUUGAAUAACGUGUACAUCUUUUCCAUCCCCAAAGUUUUCUUCUUGUGAAGAGAGGUCAAAAUAAUAUAAUGCCUGGUUAUUCUCCACCUGUUUGCUCAUUAGGGAGGUCCUUAUACGCUUGCUAUGUUGUCAAGGCCAGCUUGUGGAUUGCCUAGACGAAGAAAGGAGUAUGAGUUUCUGAUAAUGUGUGUGCUACAUGAAAGAUGGCCCUCCAUCAUGCAGGUGGGUCUCAUCUAAUCGUCCGAAUGCCUGACUGGAACAAAAGACGUACCUCUCGUGAGCAAGAGGACCUGCUGCCAUAGACUGUUUCCAGACGUGAGCUGGAACACUGGCUCUUCCCUGAGUCCCCAACAUGGAAAUAGAAAUUGAAUCUCACCGACUCAGUUUGCCAUACCCAGAUUUCUCUUCUUUCCCUUCCCCGAGAAGACAGAAACUUCCCUUGACUGUGAAGGGGAAGGUCACUUAGAUCCCUUUUGAUGGGGAACCCCUCCGCAGUAGAGGAUUAGGCAGAGGAGAAUGGCCGCAUGACCUCUCAGAAGGUCUAAAUUCAGCCCAGCAAAAAUUCUGAUG